rnacentral:tRNA from 3 species
GGGGGUGUAGCUCACUUGGUAGAGCGCUUGAAUGGCAUUCAAGAGGUAAGGGGUUCGAUCCCCCUCAUCUCCACCA